ACACAUCCAAGGAAGGCAGCAGGCGCGCAAAUUACCCACUCCCGGCACGGGGAGGUAGUGACGAAAAAUAACGAUACGGGACUCAUCCGAGGCCCCGUAAUCGGAAUGAGAACACUUUAAACCCUUUAACGAGUAUCCAUUGGAGGGCAAGUCUGGUGCCAGCAGCCGCGGUAAUUCCAGCUCCAAUAGCGUAUAUUAAAGUUGUUGCGGUUAAAAAGCUCGUAGUUGGAUUUGUGUCCCACGCUGUCGGUUCACCGUUNGUCGGUGUUUAACUGGCAUGCCCGUGUGGACGUCCUGCCGGUGGAUGCGGCCGGCCGUGGGCCUUCGGGUUCUGCGUGUCGGCGGUCCGAUUCAAUCCUACCGCGGUGCUCUUCACCGAGUGUCGAGGUGGGCCGGCACGUUUACUUUGAACAAAUUAGAGUGCUUAAAGCAGGCAGUGGUUCGCCUGAAUAUUGUGUGCAUGGAAUAAUGGAACAGGACCUCGGUUCUAUUUUGUUGGUUUCCGGAACUUGAGGUAAUGAUUAAUAGGGACAAACGGAGGCAUCCGUAUUGCGACGUUAGAGGUGAAAUUCUUGGAUCGUCGCAAGACGAACUUAAGCGAAAGCAUUUGCCGAGCGUGUUUUCACUAAUCAAGAACGAAAGUUAGAGGUUCGAAGGCGAUCAGAUACCGCCCUAGUUCUAACCAUAAACGAUGCCAGCUAGCGAUCCGUCGAAGUUCCUCCGAUGACUCGGCGGGCAGCUUCCGGGAAACCAAAGCUUUUGGGUUCCGGGGGAAGUAUGGUUGCAAAGCUGAAACUUAAAGGAAUUGACGGAAGGGCACCACCAGGAGUGGAGCCUGCGGCUUAAUUUGACUCAACACGGGAAACCUCACCAGGCCCGGACACCGGAAGGAUUGACAGAUUGAGAGCUCUUUCUUGAUUCGGUGGGUGGUGGUGCAUGG
rnacentral:rRNA from 1 species